ACAGGUGGAGGAGAAGGACAGCAGAGCACACAUUUACUCCCAAGUUGCCUUAUGACACCUGACCAAGAAGGGACUUCCUGACCUGUGAGGGGAAUUCCAUUGACUAACAGUGAAGUUUCCAUCAAGCUAACUCCCCUGUUCCGGCUCAGCAGCUGCAAGAGAUAUGCAUUUUACGCUGGAUGUGGGAUAAUCAUAAGUCACUGCCUCUUUUCCUGAAGUGCUGUAGGUCUUUACUUCACAAGAAAACAUCCUGGGGGUGCCUCAGCCUAGAGGGCCCAAUUCUCAAAACCACUGAAACUGCACUAGUGACCAGCAAAUCAUUGGUGUGCCUGUGGGACAUCCAUGAACACAUGGAAAAAAAUGAGCCUAUGUGGGAGGAAACUGAGACACUCACCUGAGGAUGCCUUGAACUACCAUAUGUACACGACCAGAUACACAGUAACACACGUGCAUACCCUCACUACUGGCCUGGUGCUUCUGCAGCAGAAUUUCUGUGCUACAGAACACAUGGUAAGUAUGCCCACUUGUAGCAGUCAUGGUACGUGCUCUGUGGGGUCCACUGUUCUGCUGGCUGUGCUCUUGCACAAACAAACUCAAAACAUCCUGAAGCAGAAUAGCAGUAUCACAUGCUGAGGGAUUGAUUUGGUCUAGCCUGACAGUCUGGAUAAUUUUAUUUACAUGUACACACAUACAUAUGCACGUACACAUACAAAUGCAUGCAUAUGACAUGCCAGUAUACACACAUAUAUAUUAUAAAGCAUAAUGAACAUAUUGUGCAAAUACAGCAUAUUCUGCAUAACUACAGAAACUUCUAUUCAACUCCGUUCCAAGGUUGAAACAGAGCAUGAUUUAAAUCCAUAAAAAAGGUACAUAACCUAAUCUUUAGUGAUAGCACAGUAAUUUCUGAUUACAUCUCUCAAACACCUUUCAGGAUUUUUUUUUAAACUCUAUUAAUUUUGCUUAUAGAAAACCAAUGUUCGUAAAAUGAAAAUAACCCAUACAAAUUUUUAAAAACGCUCCCUGCACAUUCAUGUCCGAGACUUAGAGGAAAGAAAAGCCAACAGGAAAAAAAAGGCACAAAUAGAAAAAAAGUCAUUGUAAUCCCACAAAGUAGACAAGAGAAAUUUUAUUACCUUUAGCUGAAAACAACUCUUCUUCUGGUUUAUCUGCUUGCCAUUUUUCUUUUUCUCAUCUUUGGAGAUAGUUCUCUUUCUAAAAGUGUGCAGAAAAAGAACAUCUUAACCACAUCAUCAUGAACUUUAUCACACGCUGAGUACACAGACUGUAUCAGCCUCAGCAGACAAUGAAACCCUAUAGCUUUUCAGCAGUGUCAUUAGGUUCAAAAACAAGACUAAAAUUCCACAAAUGAGACACGAAAGCACAUCCUGUUCAAUGCACAGCACUCAAAUGAAUAAUGAUUUUAUUAAAAAUUGUAAAUAAAUCCCCUCUCCAAUCUCAGUAGACAUUUUUUCGGGGAUUUUCUUGCAGGAAAAAAAUGCAUAAGUAAAGACUAUGCAGUGACAAGAUUUCAACUACUCUUUUCAUUUUGCAUCUAUGAGUUGGGUUUGGUAUGUGAAGUGCCAAAACAGAGAAUUUCUAGGCAAUUCACUAAGUUGAACUUAAAAAAGUUGAGAAGUUAUCAGCUGAUAGCUA
ensembl:lncRNA